GACGAACGCUGGCGGCGUGCCUAAUACAUGCCAGUCGAACGCUUCUUUCCUCCCGAGUGCUUGCACUCAAUUGGAAAGAGGAGUGGCGGACGGGUGAGUAACACGUGGGUAACCUACCCAUCAGAGGGGGAUAACACUUGGAAACAGGUGCUAAUACCGCAUAACAGUUUAUGCCGCAUGGCAUAAGAGAGAAAGGCGCUUUCGGGUGUCGUUGAUGGAUGGACCCGCGGUGCAUUAGCUAGUUGGUGAGGUAACGGCUCACCAAGGCCACGAUGCAUAGCCGACCUGAGAGGGUGAUCGGCCACACUGGGACUGAGACACGGCCCAGACUCCUACGGGAGGCAGCAGUAGGGAAUCUUCGGCAAUGGACGAAAGUCUGACCGAGCAACGCCGCGUGAGUGAAGAAGGUUUUCGGAUCGUAAAACUCUGUUGUUAGAGAAGAACAAGGACGUUAGUAACUGAACGUCCCCUGACGGUAUCUAACCAGAAAGCCACGGCUAACUACGUG
rnacentral:rRNA from 1 species